rnacentral:rRNA from 1 species
GGGGGACAACAUUCGGAAACGGAUGCUAAUACCCCAUAGGUGGAUUGGUCGCAUGACGAAUUCAUUAAAGGUGGCUUUGCUACCACUCAUGGAUAGCCUCGCGGCGUAUUAGCUAGUUGGUAAGGUAAUGGCUUACCAAGGCAGUGAUACGUAGCCGACUUGAGAGGGUGAUCGGCCACACUGGGACUGAGACACGGCCCAG